AUUGAACGCUGGCGGCAGGCCUAACACAUGCAAGUCGAGCGGGGUUUUCGGACCUAGCGGCGGACGGGUGAGUAAUGCGUAGGAAGCUACCCGAUAGAGGGGGAUACCAGUUGGAAACGACUGUUAAUACCGCAUAAUGUCUACGGACCAAAGUGUGGGACCUUCGGGCCACAUGCUAUCGGAUGCGCCUACGUGGGAUUAGCUAGUUGGUGGGGUAAUGGCUCACCAAGGCGACGAUCCCUAGCUGGUUUGAGAGGAUGAUCAGCCACAUUGGGACUGAGACACGGCCCAAACUCCUACGGGAGGCAGCAGUGUGGAAUAUUGGACCAAUGGGGCGCAAGCCUGAUCCAGCCAUGCGCGUGAGUGAUGAAGGCCUUAGGGUUGUAAAGCUCUUUGUUCCGGGAAGAUAAUGACUGUACCGGAAGAAUAAGCCCCGGCUAACUUCGUGCCAGCAGCCGCGGU
rnacentral:rRNA from 1 species